GAGAGAUAUUGGCCCCCAAAGAUUCGCCCCUUUUGAGAAGUGUGGGGUUUUGGGAGUUUCUACCUCCAUGGAAGCUUGAGGAACACUCAUUCCUCUAUUGUGUGAUCAUUGGUGGAUUGAGGCAAGAGGACCAAGUGGAGUGACCAACCCUUGGGGUUGUGUGCAAUUGAGGAAAGCUCAAAGAGCAAGGUACUGAUAGAGGUGAGGUUGAUCGAGGCAAGAAGCAUGAGUAGACUGUACCUGAUAGCUGGACAUGUUGAGUUGCAU